rnacentral:lncRNA from 1 species
AUCCAGCAUGAUCAAUGAGUUCAGGCUCGGGCAUUUUUAGAGCAUCCGGCAUCCAUUUCAAGAACCGUAUAUAUGAUCGAUAAUCCAAAUUGAUAAACUUAUUUACAAAUGCACCAGAUGUUGCAGGACUUGCCCUUAAACCCCUAAGAUACCAUUUCGGGAAAUAUACUCUGUCAUUAAAAGGUUGAAGUCUUAAAAUAGCAAAAGCUAGCAAGAAAAUGAAAGCUGUGAUGAUAUUAAGGGCUGCGGCAAGCCCGAUAUCGGACAGUGUAGCCAUCUGCCUUCAGAUCUUCCUAUGGAUGAACAAAAUGUAACUCAAAAAUGAAGUUUGAUGGAUGAAGAAAAAGAAGAAUAUUGUGAGCAGGGAAACGGCAUGAAUGCGUGUUUAAAGCAAGCAAAAUAAAUGAAAAUUGGUUAU